CGCGGUCUUUCCAUUUCGGGGACGCACACCUAACGAAUAGCACGACAUCAGAAAAGGCUACUAUCAUUGAAACCAUCAUUGAAAUGCUCUAAUAACAGUAAAAGUAUUAUUCGUGUACUCUGCCUCAUCCUAGCAUCAGCAUAUGAAAGCAAGCAGAUGGCAGCAAUAGAAAACACGUGGGCACGACGUUGUGAUAAGCACUUUUUCACCAAUGGGCAGACGAACAAUCCACAAAUAGCUGAAAUAAUUUUAAAUGUUCCGGUUCCAGAGGAGAGACGUCACCUGACAAUGAAGAUGCGUCAUGCAUUUAAAUAUGUGUAUAGAGCAUAUAAAGCCAGUUUUGAUUGGAUAUUAAAAUGCGAUACUGACACCUAUGUUAUUAUGGAAAAUCUUCAACCAUAUUACUCGAA
rnacentral:lncRNA from 1 species